rnacentral:miRNA from 1 species
GUAAUCAUCGACACUGAGUCCAA